rnacentral:rRNA from 1 species
GCAGGAUGACGGUCUUCGGAUUGUAAACUGCUUUUAUAUGGGAAGAUUAUGACGGUACCAUAUGAAUAAGCACCGGCUAACUACGUGCCAGCAGCCGCGGUAAUACGUAGGGUGCAAGCGUUAUCCGGAAUCACUGGGCGUAAAGCGUGCGUAGGCGGGAAUUUAAGUGAGUUGUUAAAUCGUGUGGCUCAACCAUAUCGAUGCAAUUCAUACUGGGUUCCUAGAGGAAGGCAGAGGCAAGUGGAAUUUGCAGUGUAGCAGUGAAAUGCGUAGAUAUUACAAGGAACACCAAUGGCGAAGGCAGCUUGCUGGGCCUUUUCUGACGCUGAGGUACGAAAGCGUGGGGAGCGAACAGGAUUAGAUACCCUGGUAGUCCACGCCGUAAACGAUGCAUACUAGUCUUAUGGGGUAUCGACCCCCUGUGAGACGAAGCUAACGCGAUAAGUAUGCCGCCUGGGAAGUACGGCCGCAAGGCUAAAACUCAAAGGAAUUGACGGGGACCCGCACAAGCAGAGGAGGAUGUGGUUUAAUAUGACGCUACGCGUAGAAC